rnacentral:lncRNA from 1 species
AUUAAAUUGGACAAUUCAGAGUCGUACGAAGUUCGUUCUGAAAUAGAGUGGUUGGUGUGUUUUAUAGUUCUAGAGAUUGAAUUUCACUCAAAAAUCAUCAAAUGACUCCUCCCACCGUAUUAUGACGUUCCCCAAGUUUUGGACACAAUCCGAUAUCGGUUGGUCCAUGAAAUUGGACAAUUCAGGUUCGUACGAAGUUCGUUAUGAAAUGGAGUGAUUAGUGUAUUGCAAAGUUCUAGAGAUUGCAUUUCACUCAAAACCCACCAAAUGACUCCUCCCACCAUAUUAUGAUGUUCCCCAAGUUUUGGACUCAAU